GUUCCAUCCAGAGCGGCCCAGAGACCUGGCUCGACGACGCCGCAGCAACCCCCCGGGGUGCUACCGCCAGGACCGAUGGAGA
rnacentral:ncRNA from 2 species